GUUGAACGCUGGCGGAAUGCUUUACACAUGCAAGUCGAGCGGCAGCGCGGGGGCAACCCUGGCGGCGAGCGGCGAACGGGUGAGUAACACAUCGGAACGUACCCUAUCGUGGGGGAUAGCUCGGCGAAAGCCGGAUUAAUACCGCAUAAGACCUGAGGGUGAAAGCGGGGGAUCGCAAGACCUCGCGCGAUUGGAGCGGCCGAUGUCGGAUCAGCUAGUUGGUGAGGUAAAGGCUCACCAAGGCGACGAUCCGUAGCUGGUCUGAGAGGACGACCAGCCACACUGGAACUGAGACACGGUCCAGACUCCUACGGGAGGCAGCAGUGGGGAAUUUUGGACAAUGGGGGAAACCCUGAUCCAGCCAUUCCGCGUGAGUGAAGAAGGCCUUCGGGUUGUAAAGCUCUUUCGGCAGGAACGAAACGGUGGAGGCUAAUACCUUCCAUCAAUGACGGUACCUGAAGAAGAAGCACCGGCUAACUACGUGCCAGCAGCCGCGGUAAUACGUAGGGUGCGAGCGUUAAUCGGAAUUACUGGGCGUAAAGCGUGCGCAGGCGGCUUUGUAAGACAGGUGUGAAAUCCCCGGGCUUAACCUGGGAACUGCGCUUGUGACUGCAAGGCUUGAGUGCGGCAGAGGGGGGUGGAAUUCCACGUGUAGCAGUGAAAUGCGUAGAGAUGUGGAGGAACACCGAUGGCGAAGGCAGCCCCCUGGGUCGACACUGACGCUCAUGCACGAAAGCGUGGGUAGCAAACAGGAUUAGAUACCCUGGUAGUCCACGCCCUAAACGAUGCCAACUAGGUGUUGGGGAAGGAGACUUCCUUAGUACCGUAGCUAACGCGUGAAGUUGGCCGCCUGGGGAGUACGGUCGCAAGAUUA
rnacentral:rRNA from 1 species